GACGAACGCUGGCGGCGUGCUUAACACAUGCAAGUCGAACGGAAAGGCCCUGCUUUUGUGGGGUGCUCGAGUGGCGAACAGGUGAGUAAAACGUGAGUAACAUGCCCUUGACUUUGGGGUAAAUUCAGGGAACUGGGGCUAAUACCCGGUAGAAGCUCCUGCUGCAUGGGGUGGGUUGGAAAGUUUCGGCGGUUGGGGAUGGACUCGCGGCUUAUCAGCUUGUUGGUGGGGUAGUGGCGUACCAGGGCUUUGACGGGUAGCCCGCCUGAGAGGGUGACCGGCGACAAUGGGACUGAGAGACGGCCCAGACGCCUACGGGAGGCAGCAGUGGGGAAUAUUGCAGAAUGGGCGGAAGCCUGAUGCAGCAACCUCGCGUGCGGGAUGACGGCCUUCGGGUUGUAAACCGCUUUCGCCUGUGACGAAGCGUGAGUGACGGUAAUUGGUAAAGAAGCACCGGCUAACUACGUG
rnacentral:rRNA from 1 species